UCUCACUCUCCACUCUCCUCCAGUCCAGUCUCCACUCCACGCAUCGUCCGCUCUUCAGUGACUCCACAUCCACGCAUUGUCGCUCUUUAGUGGCUCCAUGCACCAUCGGACCGUCGGCGUUGCUCGUAUUGUCACUCUCCAGUCUCCACGCAUCAUCGGCAUUGCUCUCUAGUCUCCACGCAUCGUUGGCUCGUUGCUAUUCAUAUACGCGCAGCCGCGCGACUCCUCUGUCCUCUCCAGCCUCUCACCAUCUCAUGUCACGCUUCCAUUCCACCGACUAGUCUCUGAGAUCA
rnacentral:lncRNA from 1 species